rfam:Felis catus isolate Cinnamon breed Abyssinian chromosome F1, whole genome shotgun sequence.
GCCUGGGUGGCUCAGUCGGUUAAGCGUCUGGCUUCAGCUCAGGUCAUUAUCUCGCGGUCUGUGGGUUUGAGCCCCGCGUCAGGCU